rnacentral:rRNA from 1 species
CCAGACUCCUACGGGAGGCAGCAGUAGGGAAUCUUCGGCAAUGGACGGAAGUCUGACCGAGCAACGCCGCGUGAGUGAUGACGGCCUUCGGGUUGUAAAGCUCUGUUAAUCGGGACGAAAGGCCUUCUUGCAAAUAGUGAGAAGGAUUGACGGUACCGGAAUAGAAAGCCACGGCUAACUACGCGCCAGCAGCCGCGGUAAUACGUAGGUGGCAAGCGUUGUCCGGAAUUAUUGGGCGUAAAGCGCGCGUAGGCGGAUAGGUCAGUCUGUCUUAAAAGUUCGGGGCUUAACCCCGUGAUGGGAUGGAAACUGCCAAUCUAGAGUAUCGGAGAGGAAAGUGGAAUUCCUAGUGUAGCGGUGAAAUGCGUAGAUAUUAGGAAGAACACCAGUGGCGAAGGCGACUUUCUGGACGAAAACUGACGCUGAGGCGCGAAAGCCAGGGGAGCGAACGGGAUUAGAUACCCCGGUAGUCCUGGCCGUAAACGAUGGGUACUAGGUGUAGGAGGUAUCGACCCCCUCUGUGCCGGAGUUAACGCAAUAAGUACCCCGCCUGGGGAGUACGACCGCAAGGUUGAAACUCAAAGGAAUUGACGGGGGCCCGCACAAG